GACGAACGCUGGCGGCGUGCCUAAUACAUGCAAGUCGAGCGGACCUCUUCGGAGGUUAGCGGCGGACGGGUGAGUAACACGUGGGCAACCUGCCUGUAAGACUGGGAUAACUUCGGGAAACCGGAGCUAAUACCGGAUAAUCCUUUCCCUCUCAUGAGGGAAAGCUGAAAGACGGUUUCGGCUGUCACUUACAGAUGGGCCCGCGGCGCAUUAGCUAGUUGGUGAGGUAACGGCUCACCAAGGCGACGAUGCGUAGCCGACCUGAGAGGGUGGUCGGCAACGCUGACACUAGGACCCGGCCCAGACUCCUACGGGAGGCAGCAGUAGGGAAUCUUCAGCAAUGGACGAAGGUCUGACGGAGCAACGCCGCGUGAGCGAAUAAGGCCUUCGGGUCGUAAAGCUCUGUUGUCAGGGAAGAACAAGUAUCGGAGUAACUGCCGGUACCUUGACGGUACCUGACCAGAAAGCCACGGCUAACUACGUGCCAGCCGCCGCCGUAA
rnacentral:rRNA from 1 species